rnacentral:rRNA from 1 species
GUGGGGAAUCUUCCGCAAUGGACGAAAGUCUGAUGGAGCAACGCCGCGUGAGUGAUGAAGGUCUUCGGAUUGUAAAGCUCUGUUAAUCGGGACGAAAGAGCCUAGUGUGAAUAAUGCUAGGAAGUGACGGUACCGGAAUAGAAAGCCACGGCUAACUACGUGCCAGCAGCCGCGGUAAUACGUAGGUGGCAAGCGUUGUCCGGAAUUAUUGGGCGUAAAGCGCGCGCAGGCGGAUCUGCCAGUCUGUCAUAAAAGUUCGGGGCUUAACCCCGUGAUGGGAUGGAAACUACAGAUCUAGAGUAUCGGAGAGGAAAGUGGAAUUCCUAGUGUAGCGGUGAAAUGCGUAGAUAUUAGGAAGAACACCAGUGGCGAAGGCGACUUUCUGGACGAAAACUGACGCUGAGGCGCGAAAGCCAGGGGAGCGAACGGGAUUAGAUACCCCGGUAGUCC